UACGUAGGACCCGAGCGUUGUCCGGAUUUACUGGGUAUAAAGGGUGCGCAGGCGGAUCUGUGCGUCGAAGGUUAAAGACCAGAGCUCAACUCUGGGAGUGCCUUCGAUACGGCAGAUCUUGAGUACGAGAGAGGAUAGUAGAAUUCCUGGUGUAGCGGUGAAAUGCGUAGAUAUCAGGAGGAAUACCAGUGGCGAAGGCGGCUAUCUGGCUCGUAACUGACGCUCAGGCACGAAAGCGUGGGGAUCAAACAGGAUUAGAUACCCUGGUAGUCCACGCCUUAAACGAUGUAUGCUUGGUGUUGGAGCUUUUGCUUCAGUGCCGGAGGAAACCCAUUAAGCAUACCACCUGGGGAGUACGAUCGCAAGGUUGAA
rnacentral:rRNA from 1 species